rnacentral:rRNA from 1 species
UACGUAGGGUGCAGGCGUUAAUCGGAAUUACUGGGCGUAAAGCGUGCGCAGGCGGUCUAUUAAGACAGGUGUGAAAUCCCCGGGCUUAACCUGGGAACUGCGCUUGUAACUGAUAGGCUUGAGUGUGGCAGAGGGGGGUGGAAUUCCAGGUGUAGCAGUGAAAUGCGUAGAUAUCUGGAGGAACACCGAUGGCGAAGGCAGCCCCCUGGGCUAACACUGACGCUCAUGCACGAAAGCGUGGGGAGCAAACAGG